rnacentral:piRNA from 1 species
UAGACUUGCAUAAGUGACAAGCAUGGUGG